UACGUAGGUGGCUAGCGUUGUCCGGAUUUACUGGGCGUAAAGAGCGCGCAGGCGGUCGUUCAAGUCGAGUGUGAAAGCCCCCGGCUCAACUGGGGAGGGUCACUCGAUACUGAUCGACUUGAAGGCGGGAGAGGGAAGCGGAAUUCCCGGUGUAGUGGUGAAAUGCGUAGAUAUCGGAAGGAACACCAGUGGCGAAGGCGGCUUCCUGGACUAAUACUGACGCUGAGACGCGAAAGCGUGGGGAGCAAACAGG
rnacentral:rRNA from 1 species